CCUCCUUUAAAGAGUAAAAAAAGUCUUUAUAAAAAAGGAUGCAAGUACCCUCACAAGUUAUCUGAUUAACAGCACAGCCCUGGACAUUUGUCCGAGCUUCGCUCGAAGAGCUGCCAGGCAUCAAUAUGUUUUUGGGUCUGUAGCUCAGUUGGUUAGAGCGCAUCCCUGAUAAGGCUGAGGUCGGAAGUUCAAGUCUUCCCAGACCCACCAAAUUCAUUAGAGAUGUUUAAUGGCAAACCAGGGGGCCAUAGCUCAGCUGGGAGAGCGCCUGCCUUGCACGCAGGAGGUCGGCGGUUCGAUCCCGCCUGGCUCCACCAUUAAUCGAUGCUGCUGUUGAGAAUUUAUUACAGGCAAUAAGUAAUAAUUAUUGUUUCUAAUAAGUUUUUUUGUUCUUUAACAAUUUGGAAAUUUCUGACGUCUUAUGUGGGUCAACAAUUUGUUGAUUCAACAUAAGUGUCGCAUUUGCACAUGUUGCAUGACAUANUCCGAUUUGCACAAUUGGAUAAGUCUUGUCUAUUCUUAUCAGCAACAAAGGAGAUAAAGUNCA
rnacentral:tRNA from 1 species